UGGGGGAUAUUGCACAAUGGGCGAAAGCCUGAUGCAGCGACGCCGCGUGGGGGAUGAAGGCCUUCGGGUUGUAAACUUCUUUUGCUCUGAACAAGGCGCACCAUGGGGUGUGUUGAGUGUAGGGGUUGAUUAGCGCCGGCUAACUACGUGCCAGCAGCCGCGGUAAUACGCAGGGCGCGAGCGUUGUCCGGAAUUAUUGGGCGUAAAGGGCUUGUAGGUGGCUGGUUGCGUCUGUCGUGAAAGCUCAUGGCUUAACUGUGGGUUUGCGGUGGGUACGGGCUGGCUUGAGUGCAGUAGGGGAGGCUGGAAUUCCUGGUGUAGCGGUGGAAUGCGCAGAUAUCAGGAGGAAUACCGGUGGCGAAGGCGGGUCUCUGGGCUGUUACUGACACUGAGGAGCGAAAGCAUGGGGAGCGAACAGG
rnacentral:rRNA from 1 species